rnacentral:misc_RNA from 1 species
GCGCGCGUUUCGUCGUUGGUUCGUCGGCUAUUCUUCGGGUGUGUCGUCGUAUUUAUCGGCGGAGCGCGACUCGUUAUGGGACGAUGCGUGAGUGGCGAUUCGGAUACGUUUCUCUUGCAGGCUCCGUGCGUUCAGCAUCGAACUGCAUCGGUCUAUCCAUUUCAUGGGUUGUUUCGCCCUUGUGGCGACCCGCCCCCCUUUUGGUUCCUGUGCUGGAUAUCGAGUUGGGUUAGUCGGGUGUUCCACCCUUCGUGGUUUAUUGAUUCCCCGCUUCGUGCGGCGGUGGAUACCGUGUUGGCUUUCACGUUUCCCUCCUCAGCCGUCGGGCUCCGUUUGGACCCUCGGCCGGUGUUGGCGCGUGAGUAGCCAGCGACGCUCUCGGGUACGGAGAUCUCUCGGUUAACGCAUGCGGCCCUCGGACCCAUGCGAACGCGAUUGUCGAAGCCCCUUCGCUUCUUAAUGUACGACCCUCGCGUGCUCGUUCGUGAGAUUGCGGAUCGUUUCGUUCCGUGAUCGUCCCGGGGAGUCGUCGAGGUGUACAGAGGAAUGC